rnacentral:rRNA from 2 species
UAACCUACCCAUCAGAGGGGGAUAACACUUGGAAACAGGUGCUAAUACCGCAUAACAGUUUAUGCCGCAUGGCAUAAGAGUGAAAGGCGCUUUCGGGUGUCGCUGAUGGAUGGACCCGCGGUGCAUUAGCUAGUUGGUGAGGUAACGGCUCACCAAGGCCACGAUGCAUAGCCGACCUGAGAGGGUGAUCGGCCACACUGGGACUGAGACACGGCCCAG